CUUCAGUGAGAUACAGCACAUAAAAGGAUAGAGGAUAAGUGUGACGAAUCGCAAUGACAAGGCUAAGUUGGAGGUAACUUGUGAAUGAUAAAGUGGACUGAAAACUCCCUUCCUGUGACAGUGCAAAGGGGAGAUGAGAGGCAACCUGAGGAUAUGGACCCUGGAAAGUAUGCCCACACACGCUAUGGACCACAAUGCCCUAAUCAAACAUCCAAGGUCUGUGUUCACCCUGUCCAGAAUAAAUAGCAUCCGCCAUCAAGUGCGCACAUUAUUAGCAACAGGCUACAUGAGUUAAUCAUUCAUGAAGGUGGGGAAUUUGGCAUUGAUCCAAAGUUGAGCGAUGUGUGAGUAAGAUGAAAGAGCCUUGCCUAGGUAUUCAGAAGCAAGAGCAAUGCAAAAACGGUCAUGCGAUCAACAAAGCAGUACAGUUAUUAAAGCCCUCCCAGGGUGAAUAAACAAAAACUCACCAAUGACAGCUAGAAAAAAACCAAACAAAAAAAAACUUUCCCUGUAGUGACCACUUUGUACUGCUUCCUUUUUUUUUAACUUAAGAAGCAAAAUUUAGUUUAUAAAAAUUAAAGCAUAAAAUCAAAUCAUAUCCCAAACAUUAAACAAAACUAACUCAAGUAACACAUUGAAUCUCACUUUUGGCUUGUGUUUGACAAGAAAUGGCCAUGGCAGUUUUUUGGCAUCUUUCCAACUGGACUUCCUUACAGAGCUGCCAGGACACUGUUAAUUAGGAAAAUAGUUGCAAAAUAAAGAGGCUUUGGAGAGAACAAACUACAAAUGUGAUUCAAAUAUAUUGAAUCUUUCCAAGAUGUGCCUUGUGGCCUUUCUCAGCGUAUUACUUGUUCAGAACAUCACUCAUGAGCCAGGAACCAUGAACAUGCAGGAACUGUGUACACGAUGUGGCUGUCCCCAGCAAAAUCAAUUCCCACAUGGUGAUGCAGCUAAGAAUCAUCAGUAGCCAUUACUCCUAGAAGCUCAUGGAAUUUGAAAGACCAAACAGAAGCUUUGGCAAGCCAUGGGAUAACCCAGAAGAAACCUGUGUGAAAGUUCUUAUAUGGAGAGUGAGUAGAGAGAUCUGGAAAUAUGUGUUUCUAAACAAUGGCAAGAAAUCUAGCAACUGGCAAUUAUACAAGAUUUUCUUUUUGUAAACAACACUGGAAUUUAAAUUAUUUUCAGGUAGCAAUGCCAGGAAUUUCUAAGGAAAUAUAAGGGUGAAAUGAGUUGAAAGAAAGAAGAGAUACUGGAGACCUGUUAAAUUAGGUAAAACAAAGAAAAAUUAAGGAAAUAUUUAGAAGAAGUAGUAAGACUAUCAAAUUUAAAUCUGUAGUUCCUUCCCCUCUGUGUAAAGAUGUCUUUAAUAUGGUAAUGGAUGUCAGAGGGUGGGGAGAGAGGCUGCAAUCACAUCAAUAGGAGAUAAGAGGACUCCAUCUUUUCUGCAUAUAAAGCUUUAGACCUGCAUUUUAUUUCAAGUUUGGUGAACAGCAAUCAGUUCCCAUUUGUGAUUAGACUCUGUCUUUUCACCGAAGAGAGGGUUGAGACAGAGUUUUAAAGGUUAUUCUACACUAGACAAAAGGAGUACAUGAAAAAUAAAAGGCUUUUCAAAUGAUCUAAAGUGCCCUUG
rnacentral:lncRNA from 1 species